rnacentral:rRNA from 1 species
GACGAACGCUGGCGGCGUGCUUAACACAUGCAAGUCGAACGGAAAGGCCCCUUUGGGGGUACUCGAGUGGCGAACGGGUGAGUAACACGUGAGUAACCUGCCCUUGACUUCGGGAUAACUUCAGGAAACUGGGGCUAAUACCGGAUAGGAAUCCUUGCUGCAUGGUGGGGGUUGGAAAGCUUCGGCGGUUUUGGAUGGACUCGCGGCUUAUCAGCUUGUUGGUGGGGUAGUGGCUUACCAAGGCUUUGACGGGUAGCCGGCCUGAGAGGGCGACCGGCCACAUUGGGACUGAGAUACGGCCCAGACUCCUACGGGAGGCAGCAGGGGGGAAUAUUGCACAAUGGGCGGAAGCCUGAUGCAGCAACGCCGCGUGCGGGAGGACGGCCUUCGGGUUGUAAACCGCGUUCAGCAGGGGCGAAGCUUGUGGUGACGGUACCUGCAGAAGAAGCACCGGCUAACUACGUG